AACGAACGCUGGCGGCAGGUCUUAGGCAUGCAAGUCGAACGGGUGUAGCAAUACAUCAGUGGCGCACGAGUGAGUAACGCGUGGGAAUUGGCCCCUCGGUGGGGAAUAACGUUUGGAAACGACCGCCAAUACCGCAUACGUCGAGAAAUCGAGAAAGAUUUACCGCCGAUGGAUAAGCCCACGUUGGAUUAGCUUUUUGGUAGGGUAAUGGCCUACCAAGGCGGUGAUCCAUAGCCGGUCUGAGAGGACCAUCAGCCACGAUGGGACUGAGACACGGCCCAGACGCCUACGGGGGGCAGCAGCUAAGAAAAUUGGACAAUGAAGGAAACUCUGAUCCAGCCAUGCCGCGUGAGUGAAGAAGGCCUUCGGGUUGUAAAGCUCUUUUAGUCGUGAGGAUGAUGACGGUGGCGACAGAAAAAGCACCGGCUAACUUCGUGCCAGCAGCCGCCGCCG
rnacentral:rRNA from 1 species